CCACUGCACUUCCUGCUGCCUGAGCCAGGACGUCUUUUAUCCUAUUCAGCUUCUUACCAGAGGAAAUAACACUAAGAUGAGAAAACUAAGGCCUAGAGAAGAGAAGUAAUGCACUCAAGGUCACAUAGCUGUGGGCAGCGACCAGCCAUUGACAAGACGCCGCUGUGAAAAUCUCAGAACAUGGGUGAGGCUGGAGCACCCUCCUGGACCCUAGGGACCAGAGACAGUAUUAGAAGGAACACAGAGAGAAGACGGCCAUCUAUUAACCAGGAAGCAGCCCUCACCAGAAGUCAAAUCUGCUGACAUUUUGAUCCAGGACUUCCCAGACUCCAGAACUGUGAGAAAGAAAUUUCUGUUGUUUACAAGCCAUCACCCUAUGUUAUUCGGUUAUAGCAGCUUUAACAGACAAAGACACUGUGUUACAAUAAAAUACUUUUUAUGAAGGGGUAAAAAAAUAGAUCUUUAGGCUUUGAGAAGCUAUACAGAUGGACAGCGACCAGACCAUAUAUGACAACAGAACUUUGACCCACAACCUUGGCAUCAACCAGUCCAGAAUGGUCAGGAUUUGGUCAAUUACUGACAAUUUCUGUAUUUUUUUGCCUUGCUUCCACCCCAGGACCAACUAAGAAAAGCCAAUAUGCUCCCCAAACCAAUUACAUAUGAUGCCUUCCUUCUGGUGAGCCUCUUUCCAGUUUCCCCAUAUGGGCACCUUCCCAACAUAUCAUACAUGAAGCCACGCCUUUUUAUUUUCACUAUAAAACUUUCACAUUCCCUUGCCUGUUUUUAAGUCUUUCCCAAACACAAGUGAUGGUGUUGACUCAUUUGCUAUAUGGCAAACUUUGAAUAAAUAGCCUAUGUUGCUCCCAUUGGAUGGGCUUUGCUUAUUUGUGUUUUCUUUGUGGUCCUAUCAAGAUACAGUGUACGUUGCUCAAUGCUGUGGAUCCCCACCUUCAACCUGUCACAGUACCCGCAGAGUCCCCUCAUGUCUUGCUGCUCAUGGCUUGUCAAGUCCACGACAGGA